rnacentral:lncRNA from 1 species
AGCUUCCGGAGCAGCUGGGACUGCUGGCGCCCGCCACUACGCUCGGCUAAUUUUUUUGUGUUUUUAGUAGAGACGGGCUUUCACCGUGUUGGCCUAGCGGUUCUCCAACUCCUGACCUCAUGAUCCCCCCGCCUCAGCCUCCCAAAGUGCUGGGAUUACAAGCGUGAGCCACCGCGACCCGCCAACACUCUUGACAACAGUGCUGUGCUAAGAACUUGGGGGACUUCAAAAAGUUCACCAGUUCCUGUGUCCAUGGGUGAAAAGAUUUUCUACAUCUUUCCUUGACUAGAAACAGAAGUCCUGAAACAAGAAUAUAACGUCAGGAGGCCAGAGGCUUUGUCCUGCCUAAUGUGUUAUUUCCACACUGAAUAAAAGCACCUGAGUCCUGUCUCACUCCGUCACCCAGACUGGAGUGCGGUGGCAUGAUCUCAGCUCAAUGCAACCUCUGCCUCCUGCGUUCAAGUGAGUCUCAUGCCUCACCCUCCCUAUUAGCUGGGAUUACAGGUGUGUACCACGACACCCGUCUAAUUUUUUGGUAUUUUUAGUAGAGACGGGGUUUCACCAUGUUGGUCAGGCUGGUUUCAAACUCCUGGCCUCAUGUGAUCCAUCCAUCUUGGCCUCCCAAAGUGCUGGGAUUACAGGCAGGGGCCACCGCAUCUGGCC